AGCUUUGCCCAGUGGCAGUAACAUACUCAAUGAGGUUUAUCUGAGGUGUGAUUAUUGCUAAUUGAAAACUUUCAUGACAACUUUGAAAUAUAGUCAGCAUUGAAUUUUUAAAAAAGAACAAAU
ensembl:snRNA U4 U4 spliceosomal RNA